GACGAACGCUGGCGGCGUGCUUAACACAUGCAAGUCGAACGGAAAGACCCUGCGUUUGUGGGGUGCUCGAGUGGCGAGCGCGGGAGUAACACGUGAGUAACCUGCCCUUGUCUUUGGGAUAACUUCAGGAAACUGGGGCUAAUACCGCAUAGGAGAUACUGCUGCAUGGGGGGGGUUGGAAAGUGUCGGCGGUGUGGGAUGGUCUCGCGGCUUAUCAGCUUGUUGGUGGAGUAGUGGCUUUCGAAGGGUUCGACGGGUAGCCGGCCUGAGAGGGUGGCCGGGCACAUGACGACUACGAUACGGCCCAGAAUCGUACGGGAGGCAGCAGUGGGGAACAUUGCACAACGGGGGCAAGCCUGAUGUAGCAACCCCGCGUGCGGGAUGAUGGGCUUCGGGUUGUAAACCAAUUUCGCAUGUGCUGAAGCGUGCGUGACGGUAAUGGGUCAAGAAGCACCGGCUAACUACGUG
rnacentral:rRNA from 1 species